UUUUUUUUUUUUUUUGAAACAGGGUCUGGCUGUGCAGUUCAGGCUGGCCCUGAACUCACUUCAUACCCCUGUCUGGCCUUGAACUCGAAGUGACCCUCCUGCCUCAGCCUCUGGAGUACUGGGAUGACAGGCUGCCAGUCCACGUCAGGCUCCUCCCAUCUUUCUUGCCAGCGGACCACAAGGCUCAGGUACGCGCACGGUAACAAGCCCAAGGGAUCCCAGCCAGCACAUUCACAAACACAAGCCCUACGCAAAAGAAUCCGAACCCUAACAGUAAAUUUCACACAGAAAAGCGGCCUCCCACAAUCCAGGGCGCCUUAGUCUCAGUGUGGGUUUUGCAUAUGUAAAUAAAACAAAAACAAAGUCAGGGAGAGGGGAGAACAGAGGUGAAGUGAGGACUCAGGGCGCAGGAAGUGCGGCCAGUGCGCUGAUGUCGCAACCCUGCAGGCCUCGGUGCACACACUUCUCACACGCAUCGCAUCGGGCAUCACGCCCAGAGCACACUGAGGACACUUGGCCCAGCCUGGUGCUGAAACGUUUGUGUCCGGCGUCCGCGGAGAAGGGAUCUUCCACAGAGGACACCUGGGGUAAACGGGACACACGGAGUCACCGCUGCACCGCACAUUCUCCUUAAAAGCAGCAACCUCGCCUUCGCUCAAGGCUCUCGGUGUGAUGUGUGUGUCCUUCGUGAGACGCCGUCCACGCCAAGGCCAGGAAGACCAAGCCUCCUGAAGUCGCUGGGCACCCACCUGAGAUGCCCAGCGCUGGCCCACGUCCCCACUGUUUCUGAACCAAGUCAUCCACAACAAAAUGCACCCUCUCCCAGGAACCACAGACACGGAGCUGAAAACAACUCAGCGAGCAAGCCCACAAUGGCAGAGCCAGGGAGAGGCGCGCCCCGGCAUGGUCACCCAGGGACAGCACCACGGGAGGCCGGGCAGCUGACCGCACACCAGGGCCUAGCAGCGCCGGGACUGGGCGCCCGGAGCUGAGCAGCAGAGAAGCACCGCUGGCCCACCCAGCACCGCAAGGCUGGGGAUUCCCCCGCCAGGGACAGGGCUCAGGGCUGGGGUCUCAGGGCCUCGGCUCUCAGGGCCCUUCCGGCUGGAGGCUCCACGACCUGUUCGACACAUGCGGGGCAGGAUCCUGGGGGACGGGAACCGGGAUCUAUUUUUGCCGUUAAGACCCUCCUGGUUUCCCCGGAUCCCUCUGGUCCCUCUCCCUGCACGGGGCGGGACUAGGUUUCAUCCCAGCCUUCCCCAUCCAAGCUGGCUACAGGUGUCUGCGCCAGCACUGGCCGCCCACCUCCAGAUUCCGGAGGACGCCCCUUCCCUGGGGCACUUUUGUACUCUUUAUCCCCGGCUAGGAAAAUAAAAGGAGAUGAAAUAAA